rnacentral:rRNA from 1 species
AACGAACGCUGGCGGCAUGCCUAACACAUGCAAGUCGAACGAGACCUUCGGGUUUAGUGGCGCCCGGGUGCGUAACGCGUGGGAACAUGCCCUUAGGCUCGGAAUAACUCCCCGAAAGGGGUGCUAAUACCGGACAAUGACUACGGACGAAGGAUUUAUCGCUUUUGGAUGGGCCCGCGUUGGAUUAGCUAGUUGGUAGGGUACAAGCCUACCAAGGCGACGAUCCAUAGUUGGUUUGAGAGGAUGAUCAGCCACACUGGGACUGGGACACGACCCAGACGCGUGCGAGAGGCAGCAGUGAGGGAUAUAUGACAAUGGGCGAGAGCCUGAUCCAGCAAGGCCGCGAUAAUGAUGAAGGCCUUAGGGUUGUAUAGCACUAGUGCCCAGGAUUGUAAUGACAGUACCGGGAGAAUAAGCUCCGGCUAACUCCGUG